rnacentral:sRNA from 1 species
AUGUCCACUAACUCCUCUACAUAUAUUGUGAAAUUCAUGACCCCUGGGUCAGGGGUUCAGGCUCUAGGGUUGGGCCAAUAUGGCCCUAUAGUUAGAAUGUAUUAAAUCUUAGAAAAUCUUCUUCUCUACUACCAUAUAUUUGUAUUUGUUAAAAACUAAAUGCCUGGUUAUGAUGUCCAUGAGGCCCUCUACCAAAAUUGUGAAAUUCAUGACCCCUGGGUCAGGGGUUCAGGCUCUAGGGUGGGGCUAAUAUGGCCAUAUAGUAAAAAUGAAUUAAAUCUUAGAAAAUCUUCUUCUCUUCUCCCACACAUGUGGGCAAAAGACUGAAUACAUGGUUAUGAUGUCCACUUACUCCUCUACCUAAAUUGUGAAAUUUAUUGCCCCUGGGUCAGGGGUUCAGGACAUGAGGUGGGGGCAAUAUGGCAAUUUGUUUUCCCUUGGACUGAAAUGUCACACUUUCAUUGGUUUAAACAUAGCACGGAUUGCCUCAUAUAUCUCUAUAUUUGUUCAGUGAGAAAUAAUAUUAGGCAAUAUGACCGUCAUUGGCCUCCGCUUCGCUUACUCAUUUUGACAUUUCAUAGUAUUUAGAACAUAAACCCCAUGCCGUAUAUUCUUAAAGUAUUUGGAGUAGUUGCCCUUUGAAAUUCUUUAAAAUUAGAGUAGUUGCCCUUAGAAUAUUAACAUUACAUUGUUUUGUCUGGAGCAGAACUAAAUGGCAGCGUCGAAAUUUGCUGAAAUCUCUGCAGAGAAAGGGAGAAAACAUUAAAAAUUGAAUAGCAACAAAACACUGUAUGUAAACAUGGGUAAAGCAAAGAUUAUUAAAGAGUAUUUGAAAGGUGAUUUGAAAAUUUUGAAGAGUUAAAAUGCGUUAAAUUGGACGAGAUGUUAGGCAUUUUGUACAUGGCUUUGCGUAGAUCAUCGCUAUUUGUGAAUAAAUAUGUCGCUUGAUAGUCCUCGGGGGAAAAACAGAACACUUUUUAGGUUAGUUACUGACUCACUACGGAAAUAUAUUGGGUUGAUCAAUCUCAUAGACGGCUCGGCUGGCUACAUAGACGGCUCGUUAUGCAUAUAAUGUUUAAAAAUUUUCUUCUCUAUUCUCACACAUCUGUAUAAAAAAAACUGACUUAUAAUUAUGUUUACCAGGAAGUCCUCUACUGAAAUUUUAAUUUUCUUGUCCCCUGGAGUGUGGGUUUUGACUUUAGGGCAGGGCCAAAAUAGAUGUACAGGUGUUAAUGCAUAUAAUGUUAAAAAAUUAUCUUCUUUUCUCCCACACACCUGAAAGGAAAACUGAAUUCAUGUUUUUGUAGACCAGAUCUUUAAGUUUUUCGCCAAAAUUAUAGGUUUCACAGUUCUUUUUGAAAGAUUUCAGGCAGGGAGGUGGUCGUCAUUACAGAUUUAUAAUUUUUCUACUCCAGAAUGAAACUUAAUUAAUUAAAUGCAUAUAUGAGACUCCUCGACAAGUUUGUGUAUGGGUUAUAUGCUACUCAGGUGACCGUUAAGGCCAAUUGGCCUCUUGUUUCACUAUGUACUGAUUUUUGAAAUUGACUGAGGUAUGUGUCAUUCAAUUUCGGAGUUUUUCUCCAUUCUUUUGUAUCUAUCAUUAUAUUUGUUACAAACUUUUAAAAAUUGAAUGUUAAAAUUGUAUCAUUUUUGUUUGUUCUUUUUUUUUGUACAAGGUGGUACUUGCAUUUUCUGCAUAAUUAAACAUUAACAUCUACAUGCACAUAAAUUGUCAACUCUC